rnacentral:rRNA from 1 species
UACGGAGGGUGCAAGCGUUGUUCGGAAUUAUUGGGCGUAAAGCGCGUGUAGGCGGCUAUUUAAGUCUGAUGUGAAAGCCCGGGGCUCAACCUCGGAAGUGCAUUGGAUACCGGCGGGCUUGAGUCUGCGAGGGGUGAGCGGAAUUCCUGGUGUAGCGGUGGAAUGCGUGGAUAUCAGGAAGAACACCGAUGGCGAAGGCGGCUACCUGGACCGAUACUGACGCUGAGACGCGAAAGCGUGGGGAGCAAAC